rnacentral:lncRNA from 1 species
AAUAAUUUAAUAUAAAAAUAAAUAAUCUAAAAGACCUAAAAUUUUUGAAUCUACUAGAUCAAUGAUUUAGAAAAGCUUCCAAUGGUUUCUCUUAUGAUGUCUCUUGAUUAAGGUAAGUGUGAACAUCAAGAAAAAAUUCGUCCGAUCGCAUUGGAUGCUCGAAAGAUAGAAUAGAUUAGUAAUUAAAAUUUUCAUAACACUUAUGAAUUCUCACAUUGAUUUAUAGUAAAAAAUAAUCAAGAUUGAAGAAGCUCCU